rnacentral:rRNA from 1 species
UACGUAGGCGGAAAAUUAAGUCAGUAGUGAAAUCCUGCAGCUUUACUGUAGAACUGUUAUUGAUACUGGUUUUCUUGAAUAUAGUUGAGGUAGGCGGAAUGUGUAAUGUAGCGGUGAAAUGCUUAGAUAUUACACAGAACACCGAUUGCGAAGGCAGCUUACUAAGCUAUGAUUGACGCUGAGGUACGAAAGCGUGGGGAGCGAACAGGAUUAGAUACCCUGGUAGUCC